rnacentral:rRNA from 1 species
CCCUUAGAUGUUCUGGGCCGCACGCGCGCUACACUGACGAAUUCAACGAGCUUAUAACCUUGGCCGAAAGGUCUAGGUAAUCUCCAAAAUUCGUCGUGAUGGGGAUAGAUUAUUGCAAUUAUUAAUCUUCAACGAGGAAUGCCUAGUAAGCGCAAGUCAUCAGCUUGCGUUGAUUACGUCCCUGCCCUUUGUACACACCGCCCGUCGCUCCUACCGAUGAGCGUUUUGGCGAAGACGGUUUGAGUAGCUGCGUAAUUUCGUGUUGUUGACUCCGGCAGUUUGAGCCUUCACGUUUAGAGGAAGGAGAAGUCGUAACA